CACUGCACCCAAGCCUGGGUGACAGAGGGAGACUGUGUGUCUACAAAAAUAAUUUUUUAAAAAACUGAGAUUGUUCAAGAUCAGCUAGUAAGUGAUGGGACCGGGAUUUAAACUCCAUUCCUCCAGCUCCACAGCCCCUGCUCUUUUGACUACCACAAUGCUUCCAUUCUUUCUUGGACUGACAAAGAGCAUGGGGAGGCUGAGGGCUGCUGAGUGGAGAUGCACAGCCCCCAAGCCAACCUCAAAGGCAUAGAUUAUAUUCCUUUCACCUUUGCACAAAGCCAGCCAGCCCUGACUUGAAGAAGUCGCCCUGCACCGCUCCGUGAGACAAGGAUGCUGAGUCUGGGUGCUCACACCUGUAGGCGGCCUGGUUGACCUGCUCAGUUCUCCCUGUGUUGCAUUCUCUCUUACACAUCCUCAAUUUUCUUUUACAUGGUUUUGACAUUUCUUUCUUUAGUGGUGAUAGCAGACAGAUGUGGAGACGCAGUUCCUAAGAGCUAUACCAUUUGCAAAUGUCAGAAAAAUGCAAGGUUUCUGGAAGUUCAUUGCCCUCAGCUCCUUAAGAGCAUUGCUCUUUCACCAAGGAAUGGUGGAACCCUGGGUGCUAGAGGCUAAGCAUCUUCCUAGCAUGCUUUUGAAGGAACUGUUCAUAAACUUGUUGGAGUCUCAUUCUUGACUUGGCAAAUGUGGCUCUCAUCAAUGGUCUUCCCCGAGUCUGACCUCAUUCCCUCAUGCUGCAAUUCCUCCUUCUUGUGGACAUUAGGAGCACGUCAUCUAAGGGGACUUGCUGAAGGUAAUUCUACCCAGCCUAUACUUGUAUUCUGUCUCCCUCCAGCUUCAUGAGUGGUAAACUCAUGAAAAUAUAAAUAUAAUACAAUAUAAAUAUUGUAAGUAAAUGACAUCCACUUAGAAGUCUGCAAGGAAAAGAAGUGGGUUGCUUGAGUGAAUUUGGUCGUUCAAUAUAAAAUUCUACCAAGACAUUUAGGCAUGAAUGUGAAAUGACAUGAGUGCUUUGAAAGUUAGGAGCACCACAGAAAUAUACUUUAGAAAUAAUGAAGCAGCAGCAGCUGGGAGAAGGAUGGUAGAAUCCUCUCUGGGUAGCCUGGAGUUUCACAGCCUCAGUCCACCCUAUGACCCCAAGGCAACCCCAAAGGCAUAGAUUCUGUUCCUUGCACCCACUGUACAUACAUAUAUUAAAUACUUAUAUAGUAUGAGGACAGCUUGUAUUUAUUAAAAUAUUUUCAUGUUUUGAAGGCACUGUUCAUGGCCAUUAAUUUAUUUAAUCUCAGUCAAGCAUCAAAACAACCUAGUUAAUGGGAUGUGGUGAUUUAAAUCCCUAUUUUUCAAACGAGGAAUCAGAGACCACAGCAGCUCAGUAACUUGUCCAAGGUCAAAGCCAGUGAAUGAUGAGAGUAUGAUUCAUGUCCAAGUGUCCAGAGUCAAGCUCUCAUGUGUUUUCCCUGACAAGGAAAGGGUGCUUGAUACCAGAUUCAUUUAUAGGUAUAGGAUGAUCACACCCUACCCUACCUCUGUCUCUCUCUCGUGCCUAUGUCUCUAUUAUCCUCUUUCCUCUCUCUCACCUUCUUUUUCUCUGUCUCACCUUGGAUUUAAGUUUACUCCAAGAUGAAUGUGCAGAAAAGCCUCAUUAUAUGAUUAUUUCACCUACAAGGUGAUCCUGUGACAGGGACCCCAAGAGUGACCUUGUAUUGAGACCUUAAUAAAUUGCUCUGGAGUCCAGAGCUGGCUGCAUGCUCCGGUGCCCUACAGCAGAUCAAAUCCUCACUUGGGGCAGCAUGUAUGAUAGCAUCCAUGAUGGUGUAGACUCACACAGUGGGAGAGAUGAUCCAGGUUGCUUAGAGUCAAGGCCAAACCCCCAGACCUUUGGGGCCUUUCCUGGUUCCUCCUUUACACUCAUCACACUUUGAUAUAUUUGCUUAUCCAAUGUCGGUCUCCCCAUUAGAUGGAGCUACAUAGGGAAAGAACUAUGUGUGCCUUGUUAACUGCUGUCCCCUUGGUCAUGUCAGUCACUGGGUAAGCCCUCCAAAGAGAGGGGGAAUAACUGUAUGAAUGAAUACGUGAAGUAUUGAUGGAGUAACAAUAAUUUCACACGUCACUCUUCUCAGAAACACUCAUAUUUUCCAAGAUUCUCAGUGAAGAUGCAUCUUAACCUCUUUAGGAUUUUCACAGGGAAGGAAUUCCACAUGAACAGCCUGUUCUGGAAUGAGUGGUUAUGAGAUGGGAUGAGAGUAUUUUCUCAGUGUUUCUCAAAUGGCACCGUGCAGCCCCUUGGGUAUUAACUCAGCUCCAUCACCAAAACCAACAGUGGUUGGACCUCAAGGAACAGGAACUUUGGGGAAGCUGAGAAGAAAGGCAGCUGGGGCCUGACUUCAUACUCUCAGGAUUCCCUCCCUGUGAGCCUCUGGUUAUUCUAUCCUGAACGCAAGGCAGAUAUGGAGAAGUUCUGAGUCAGGGCCUAGAAGGUGGGGUUCUUAUGAGACAAUGAAAAUUGGAACCAACUUCUGGCCUUGCUGGGUCUGUUAUUGGAAUUAAGCCCAUCUUUUUUCAUUUUAUUCAAACUGAAGACACUUUCUGGCAAGGUGUUAGAUUGCCACCGAAAAUAUCAGCCAAGGGCUUAUGAAGUCAAGUCCUGAGAAACUUGUGUCAAUUUAUGCUCCGGGUAAAAAUUCCUAUGAGAUUCAGCAUCCUGGCAGGUUCAUUUGUUAUAUACUAAUUUCCAUGUCCUAAACUAAAAACCUGCAAGGAGCUGUGUAUAAAAUCAACAACAAAGGCCAGCGUGGCCUGUUCUAUCCCAAGUAAGGAUAAACUGAUAGAUGAACUGUGGAGGGCACACCAGAGUGAUCUUCUUUCCCAGCGUAAGAGCAGAAAAGAACUGAACAUUUUCUAAGUUCCAAUUCAAACCUUGAUCAAAGAUCCAAUCAAAACGAACCUUACCAAUAACAACCUGUAUUGAAUGCUGAAUAUGUACCAGGCUUUGUGCUAAGCACCUUCCAUUUAUAUUGACCAAUUAGUCUUCUCAAUGAUUUCAUCAAGUGGGUUUUAUUAUUUGCUCUAUCUGAUAGAAAAUGAAAGAAACAGAAGCUCCCAAACUUCAUUCAAUAUGCCCGAGCUUGCAAACCAGCAAAGACCAGGAUUAAAGGCUGGGCAGUUAGCCUCUGGAACCUCUGCCCUUAAUGUUUGUUAGGUAAUGAAUCCAACAUUCAGGAAUAUAAUCAAAGUGCUCAUUGCAGGUCUUGUUGCAGUUUGAGACUCCUUAUGGUGGCAGAUACUUAAACCUCAUAGUACAACAUUUUUUCUUCUUCUAUUUCCUGGUACGAAGAGAAAGCCCUAGAAUAAUUAACUGGAAAAUUCAUUCUCCAAAUGUUUUGCAUUGUACCAAGGCUAAAUUGGAUAGGUCAAAUGCCCUCCUGUCUGUCCCCUGGGAUUCUGAAGAAAUGUUUAAAUUACUUUUGUAUACUCGUAGCAUUUGGGUGGAGAAAAAUCUAGGGAUUAUCUAGGAUUCUUAACAGCCGUGACAAUCAGGAUAAAGAACAUGGCCAUAAAGAGGUACCCUGAUAGGGAAUGGCAGGCUUCACCUACUCCCUACACAUUUGAUCUUUGCAGCAAGCUUAAGUCAAACUUGCACUUCAUUCACAAAUAUACAAAAAGAUGGCCAACAUCAGUAUUAUGGAAGGGAAUUAAAAUUAAAUGAUGUGUUUUCCAUAUCAUUUUGGCAAAAACUUCUGAGUUUUGAUAAUAUCGAUCAUAGCGAAUGUGAGGAGAAGCAGGUACUUCCGUAGAUUGCCAAUGAAAGGAUGAAUUGGAAUGGCUAUUUUGGAAGGUGAUUUAAAACCAUUAAAAAUGUAUACCACCUGUGAGCCAGCAAUUCUAGUUCUUGCCAUCUACCACCAGGAAACACUUAUAUUCACAAAAGUGUUCACUGCAGCAUAAUUUAUGGGGCCAAAAACUGAAAAUCAUAGAAAUGUAAUAUGUCCAUACCAUGGAGUAUUACACAGCUCAUGAAAAGGUAAAUUUCUAUGACUGACAACAAAUAAAAUGCAUAAGACAUACUGUUAAUUUAGAAAACCCAUACAGCACGGCAUCAUCCAAUCAUGCGCGCACGCGCACACACACACACACACACACCCCAGUGUAUAGAAAAAAGAGUGCAGAGGUACACAAAAGACUAAAAGAGGAGAUUACUUCUGGAGAAGUUCUAGGGAUGGAGAGCAACAGUCAAGAGAACCACCCAUCAUUCAACAAAUAUUACUUAGCACCUUCUCUGCCAGGCACUGAUGCUACCCUGUGAUGAACAGACCAAAAUCCUUGGAAUCACGACACCAAUAUUCUAGCAUUAGUAUUACUGUUAAGCAUGUGUAUGGAACAAGAAGGAAUUUAUAUAUUACUUGUAAUUAAAAAUAAAUAAAAAUAAAAGCUAAUAAUGAAAUCACUCACAAUUUGAGAUAAAAAAAAAUGUCAGCUGAUUAUUUUGGAUUUUGAGAGUACUUGCAAAUAGUCCCAACCACAAAUGUUGUAUUGGUGGCUGUCAUGAGGCUACUGUAAUUCCUCAAAUGGUCCCCCCUUUGGACAGUUGGCACAGACAGGAAUGCAUGCAGGAACAAUCUCACACACCUCAAACACCUGCACACAAUUUUGAUAGUUGCUUCUAUUAACAUUUUUGGGGAGCAACAUUAGACACAAAGUAGGAGUAAAACCCAAUCCAAUUAUACAUAUAUUCACAAACGAUAUGUACAGGAAUAAUCUUAGCGGCACUAUUAAGAGGCCUAAACUGAAAACUACCUAAAUGUCCAUCGGUGGUUGAAAAGAUGAAUUGUCUACUAUAUUUACACAAAAGAAUGACAUAUAGCAAUGAAAAGCAAUGCAUUAAAAUGAAAUAUAACAACAGAUGAAUCUCAUUGACAGUGGUGAAUGAAGGAAGACUGACUCAAACAUAACGCACUCUAAUUCCAUUUAUUGAGAGUUCAAAAAAAGGCAAAAAUAACACAUGAUACUUGAAGGUGGAAUAGUUGUUACCCUUAGGAAGAAGCAGUAGCUGGGGUGCAUUAUGAAGGCUUUGUCAGGACCAAGAUUGUUCUGCUUCCUGAUCUGGGUGCUGGUUGCCUGGAUGUGUUUAUGAGUUGUGUUGAGUUUUACAGUUGCUACUUGUAACUUUUUUGUAGGUAUAUUCUACUUGCAUCACAAGUUUACAAAAAAAAAAAAAAAAAAAAAAAAAGCCCUGAAAUCCACUUUGUGUUUUGGAAACUCAUCUUUGUCAAGUCACAUGCCUUCUCUGGGCUUUAGUUUUACCAUCCAAAAAAUGGGAGAGAAAUUUGUUAGCUGAUCAGGAAGGGCUCUUCCAAAUGUGUGGCUCUGUGUCUCACCUCUUCCAUUCCAAUAAUUCAUUCCUAAAGGAAUUAAAAAAUCUAGAGAAUGAGGCUUGUAGAAGGCUUAUCAGGUCACAUGUGCCCAUUUUCAAAGCAUUUUGUUAUAAAGACAAUCAAUGAGCAACGGAAAUUAUGUCUUUCCAGGAAAAUACACAUAGUUAAUUCUUCCCCAAAGUGCUUGUGGGAUAAGUGGGAAUACGCCAAACGCUGCUUCUAUCACACAUCCUAUGGUCAUGCCAAUACAAACAGACUGUGAGGGGAGAGUCAGCAAUUUAGGAGGCAGAGCUGUUCCUGGUAGGAAGGAGGCAGCCACUAUGCUCAUGACUGACGACCUGUUUGCAAAAGCACUUCCUCUCUGAGGGGAGCUGGUUUGUAAUUUUCCUCUUACUGCUACUGGAAGUCCUUGAAUGGCAAUAUCACAACUUGUACCCAUUCACAACAGGAAAGUUUGACAUCCGCAGAUAAUCUUGGCAUGCAAGGAGGAAAAGUCCAGUACUGCCUGUCAGCUUCUAUAUAAGAACCAGGAAGAUAAUUUCUAUAGUGUAUACUAUGAUAUAAUCAUUACUCUCGAGGUGGGCCUUCAGCCAGGGACUCUUUUCCUAGUUGUAUCCAAGCCCCACUGAUAUUUGCAAGGCAGGGACCCCAAAGAAAUCAACUCAAGGCCCUGAACAGACCCAUUGUGUUAACUCAAUUUAAGCCCACAGACAUGGACUCUUGGGUGAGUGAAGCAGCCUCCGAUGAGUAGGGGUGUUAUCCUGACUGUUUAGAGAGCUGAUCCUUAUGUGAAGGGUUGGUUCUCAGAGGAAAGCUCAAAUUAGCAGUUGAAAAUAACCAGACACAAAAUCUGAUAGGGGUUCUCAGGUCAUUUAGAUCAGUUCUUCUCAAAUGAUCAGAGGCGAAGGACCAGUUUUGUUUCAUUUAGUUUGGUUAUUUAUUUGUAACCAUUCACAGGCCAAUACAUUUUUUUUUAAUUCAAGAAAAUUGAAUGAUUACAAAUGGAAUAAAGAGACGAAAUAUAAACCGCAUUUUUUUAUUAGUUUCAACAGACAUUAUUCUGUCCAGCGGCUAUAAAAAUUCAGAAAUUCUCUGUGAUCUAGGUGCUGAUUAAAUAGAUUUGUUUAGCUUGCAAAAAUCUGUGGAGCGGUAAGCAAUGUCUGAAGGUACCCAUCGUGAAAGGGUGGUAGUCUGUGGAUUUCAGGAGCAGUACUCAUUGGAGAUCUUCAUACUCUCUCAUGAGUACACUUGUUUGGGAAUAACACAGUGUUCAAAGUAGGGGAGAGGGUCAGGGGACAGAUACUGUAAUGAGGAUGGGACCCAAGAUAAGACAAUGGAAGAACAGGUAGAAAAGUAUUAAAAGUAAUGGCAAAAACCACGGUUACUUUUGCACCAACCUAAUAAGAAUCUCAGAAAUCAAGACUUUAGUGAGGAAGCAAUUUUUGGUGAUAAUGAAGGAACUUCCUGUUUUCAGAGGAGUGAGGUUGAGGGACAUCAGUAAAUAACCAGAUUAAUUACCUAGAAUGAGGGACAGAGAUCUCUGCUCAUUGUGUUCGGCAAACCCCUAGGCUAAACAACCAAUAGGCAGUACAUGAGAUAUUGAAGUUCUGGUUUAGGUCAGGCUGAGAACAUCAGGCAGGUAACGCAUUACUUCUUUCCACCCAUUUCCUGCUCACAAAUUGCAGAUGGAAAACAGAUUUUUACAAAAUCAAUUUUCUUGUUUUAUCAAAUACCAAAUAUAAAAGCUCAUGUCCAUAUAAUCACAGUUAAUGAUUCUGGAAAGCAAAUUUAGAAUUAGGGGCAAUUACAACAAAACCUUAGGAGAGUAAGUUAUGAAACAAUUUAUUUUAAGUUAUAGGAAUAAUCUCCCACUGAAGGCAGCUAUUCUUUUAUUUUUAUUUUUUUAGUAUUUUUGGAAAAGGGACAAAUGUAAGUAGGUAAGACAAAAAACUGAAAUUCUACAAGCAUUUUAGUUUCCAGUCCAAGACAGCUGUUGGGUGAUAUCACCCAUUGUGAAAACAGUCAUGCGUGGAGGGAAUUGGCAGAUGAAAAGCAAGAACACUCGAUAUGGGGCGUGUAAACGUGCUUUCUCUGUCUCCUUUGAUUUUCCUCAUAGCUAGACACACCUAAAAGUGAAGUUACAUAUGUGGAUGUUUAUAUGAAGAAUAAAGGACACAAGAAAGGAUUCAAGAAAUGAAAAACGGUGGAGGAAGAUAAACAUUUCAAGAUUCAGAUCAUGUUGCUGCCCGAAUUCAGUGUGUCUCUAAGGAAAUAGCUAGAAGGGGUUUUCAACUCUCAGCUUCCUUCCAAGGAAUAAAGAGUUUGCUGUGAGCAAAAAAAACAUGCCAAGAAAAUGCCAAUUUGUGUCACACUAACAUCUUUCUUAAGGCUGAACGUGGACUUCGGAAAUGUGAACCUUUGGCUCCGGUGAACACAGUCAGCCUUGAGGGUUUGAAAUUAGGUUCUUCAGAAGGACCGAAGGAAAUCUGAGAGAUCAACUUAGACACCCACUAAUUAGAAAAUGCGCCGACACCAGAGACUCGUUUGCAAUGAGUGGUGGGGUCAACCUUUCCAUGGCACCUGACGUGAACUCAGAAAAAUGGAAUCGCUGAAAACACGUUUGGAAAUGAUUUUAUCGGAGACAGAGAGAGACAGCAACUGCUGGAGUGAGGAAGAGAGAACAAAAAGCAAACCAAAGUGAGAUGCUGUAAUCGAGAAGACUUGGCGAGAACAAAUGAAGAACGUUCAAACUUCCUUGUUGCAGACAAAACAACCUUCAAAGGCUACCUUUUUUCCUAUUUGAUGGGGUAAAAUUGCUUCCACCAAUGCAUUAUACAUCUUUAAAACUCUCCUUUCUGCAUUUAUAAUUUUCAUAGAUGCAGCUUCCUCCAAACUUAAGCAAUGAAUGUAAGAUGAUGCUCCCUUGGGGGUUGUAAAGACAAUCUAAGAACAAGUCAUUUUGGAGUAACAAACUUCACAGCCGGGGAUAAUUUCCAUUGCAUAAGGCAUCUACCCCUAAAGCUUUCAUUGUUUCACUCUUAGGCAGUUAUGUCAUUAUUUUACUUACCUCAUUGGGGAAAUCAUUGUUUAACAACCAAAUAUAAAUGGGGAAAUUGUCUUCUACUUUAUCUUCUCCAGGAUAAUAGCUUCCCUCCCCUACUUCCCUCCCCUACUUCCCUCCACAGAAGGAUUAGUCCCAAAUGGGUGAUGAAUUGCUCCAAACAGACCGACAGUCCCAGAGAGAGAAAUGAGAAGAAAAAUAACUAGCUGAUUACCAAUAGGGAACAAAUUGGCCACUUGAGAAUUCAGUGGCUAGAAUGACAAAUGAGAAAAUGAAAAUCCUCAUCAAGGGACUAGACUUGCUGAUUAGUGCAAGUGCAGAUGACCACUUUCCAUGCCUCUCCUGCCCUGCUGUGAAAUGAUUUACAUCUGAUUGAACAUUAUUUUGUAUUUGGGACCGAGAUUUCUAAAAGGGUGUUUGGAAAACUUUGAAGUACUUAAAUAUAACUAGGAGGCAUUUGGGGACUGAGCAGUGAAAUGGAAGAUGCUCUGUGUUGGGCUCAUGGAAUGUUCAUUUAGAGGAGAACCCAUGUCUGCUUGGUUUGGUCUGGUUUUUCAUUCCAUCACCCCUUAAGGCAGCUUUCCAAGGUUUUCUGGGCUCUGAAAGAAAAUAAAAAUGAAAAGCGUAUUCUUGGCCAAGGGAUCCACAUUCAAGGCAGACGCCAGGAUUUCAACAUGUGGAUAGACUGGGUUUUCUGUUAAUCAUCAAUUACUAAAAAUAGAAAUAAUUUGGGACUCCUUUGAAGGGAGGCCAUUUUUUACUAGACUUCAUUUGAACCAGUCUAUCAAGGGAAGUUGGGUAUAUAAUGAACAAUAGACAUUCUUAGUGGUGCUAAGUCAUAUAUGCAUGAAGAAAUAAAACAGGACUCUCAACCAUUAGCCUCCAAGUGGACAUAGUCAUAUGAGCUAUAGGAAUUAUGAGGAAAAGGGGAGGUGGAGAUUGUAAGUCAGGUGAUCAGGAUAGGAUUCAGAGAGAAAUGGUGAUCAGACUCAGGCCUUGAAGGAGGGAUAGAGUUAUAGUAAUUUCUGGGUGGGAAUCACUUGAAUGAAGAAUAGUACUGAUUUUUUUUUUUAAAUGAUUUGGUACAGAGUAGAAUGUGUGCCUUAAGCAAAGUGGUUUUCAGUACAGAAUCUGGAAAGAUGAGACAAAACAUAAAAUUUUACAUGUAUGAAUAGGUCUUCGACACCAGGCAAAUAAUUUGGUUUGAUUCUAAAAGUACCAGAGGAACAUUAAGGAUUCUAAGGCAAGUUAGAUCUGUUUUAGAGGUCUAUUUUCCUCAUCUGACAAAAAGAAUCAGCAAAACAGCAUUCUCUGUAACUUUUCCAACAGGUAAAAUCGACAUGUAAGACUGCCAUUUUGCUUCUUCUUUGGUUUGUGGGACCAGCGCUAUGGAAGAUAAGAAUGAACUAGCACAGUGCCUGACUCUAGGACUCAACACAUAUUGCUAAAUGCAUGAAUGAAGCUGAACUAUAUAAAACCACAGUACUGUUUCCUAGGACAGAGGAAGAUGAUCUGAUUACCUCAGACCUCUCAAGAGGUAUCAAUAGAGAAUUUGAUAGGGGCCCUGGUUGGAAGCUAUGUGAACUUGGGCAUGUAACUUCACCUUUUUGAGUCUGUAUUUCAUCACCUGAAAAAGCAAAGCAGGAAAGCAGAAACUUCUACUCUAUCUGCAAUUUUCUUCCUUCUACUGGCAGUGAUACUAUUUAAAAAGUACUUGGCAUCACCCAAAUCUGUCUUCCAGUGAGCAUCAGAAUCCUUCUGACUGUGAUUGCUCCCAAUUUGCCUAGAAUUGGAACAGACUAAAAUAUAUGGUUUAACUCUGGAACCCAGGCCAACGGCACAACAUAUGGAAAAACACACAUUGUAAAAUAAGAAUCCUUCAAAGACAACUUGAGGACGUCUGGGAAUUCUGAAGGCUGAAAAUUCCAUGAGUUCAUAGCAGUAUUCACUAAUUCCACUGAUCUAAAGACAAAAAGGAGGGUCAACUGCAUGCCCAAACUCAUUUUUGAUGAUUUCUUCCAUCCUACCUUUUCUGCCUCUCUGGGGGUGGUUAUGCCUGUGAAAAACAUCGAAGCUGUCAGGAACACAGUCGGCUUUCAAGACUGGAAUGUCAAAGUAGAGUCUUCUUUUCCUCAGACCAGAAGAGUUUCCAGAUCUAAACAAAGACAGGACUGGGAUAUAGGAGGUUGUACACAUAAACAGCACAAACACCUUGGGUAAGUGAUACACGAAGGGAGACCAAAACAGGGCAGGAACACAAUCCUAAAGCUACAUGAGAUAAGAAGCCAAGAGACCCUGUCUACAGGCUGAUCUGUGUUGCAACCAGAGGCCAACUACACUCAAGAAAAUUCUAAAUGAUGUAAUUGGUCAUGGGCACUUUCUCAUAAAAACAAUCGGUAUUUUUUUCUUACAGGGAUAAAGCUUGAAAGCAUGGGAUGUAGCUCUCUUAGGAAAUAUGAAGUGAGCUGGUAUAUUCCAGGUAGGUUAGACUGAGAUCAUUACAAAAUUGGGCUGAUUUUACAUGGAGAAGAACCUGAUUCCUAAGGGUGUUGAAGGACAAGAUGGGGACAGUUAUUAAGGUGUCCAGGUGCUGUCCUUUGUAGCCUGUAGCCUAUUAAUACACAACUGAACACAGACCCAAGAAAAGGGGUUCUACUCAUUACUAGAAUGUAAACUUUAAGAAGAUAAGGAUUUUGUCUCUUCAUUUACUACUGUAUUCCCAGCUCCUAGAAGAGUGUCCAGCACUUAGUAUCUGUUGGUAAGUGACUGUUGAAUUAAUCAACCAGUGGUGAGACUUUGGAAAGCAGCUAGUCCAUCUGUAAGACUGUUUUCUCAUCUGUGAGAUGAGUCGGUUAGAUUAGAUGUUUUCUAAGCUUAUUCUAGUUUUAAAAAUUGUAUGUUUCUAUCAGAAAUGAUAAAUGAAAAUGUCCAUUCCUUUUUCAUCUCCGUCAUCCAUCUCACAUCUUCUUUCAGUGCCUAUGUGGUCUGUUUGAGUACAAUCAACCAGGUGUAGGAAAGUACUAACUGAUAUGAGAUGACUUCAGUAGUCCAGGGACUCUCCCUCCCCCCACCCCGUAAAGAGUCAUUUGCUUAGUUUAAUGUAUAUUAUAAAAACAGAAUUAGUUUCUCAAUUCCAUUUAUAGUCAUAUUAUAGUUUAUUAUUCACAUAAAUUUAAGGUACAAGGAAGUCAACUUAAAGAAAAUAUUUUAAGUAAAUUACAAUGCAAGUUCUACACAGAUGUAGCACAAACCACAAUGGUAGGACACAAACAAUUGCUAUUUGAGAAAUAGGCCUUUUCAUCAGUACUCAUGGCAUGUAUCUUAAAACCCGACUUUCACUAGUACUCUCAAAGGGACUAAGUCACAAUUCAAGUGACCAUACCAGUUAGCUGAGGGCCCUUUAUUCCUGUUUAUGGUAAAAUAAUUGCCUUACUUGAACUUUUAAAAAAUAUACUUUUUCUGCUUCUGACCAUAAUGGGCUAACUGCCAUUAAAGAGACCAUCUAUCAGAAACAAUUAGAAAACUGGAUGGAAUAUACGAAGUCACUGUUUUUGGACAAUAGGCAGCACAAAACUAUGAUCCCUGAGAAAAAGGAAGGAAAUGAGGUGAUGCCUACAAUUGCCCUGAUUUUUUGCCUAGGGAUACUGUCCGAACUGCUACUCUGGAAAGGAAAACCCAGGUGAAACAUGGGGCCUCACCGAGUAGAGGAGACAGGGAUCAACAUUGGGAAAGCUGAAAUGACUGGAAUUUGUAGGGCAGAGUAUGGGGAAGGAAGGAGCUAUGUAGGGAAAGAGCUCAAGAAAUACGCACAAAGGGCAGGUGCAGUGGCUCACAUCUGUAAUCCCAGCACUUUGGGAGGCCGAAGUGGGCAGAUCACAAAUCAGGAGCU